rnacentral:rRNA from 2 species
CGGUCCAGACUCCUACGGGAGGCAGCAGUGGGGAAUAUUGCACAAUGGGCGCAAGCCUGAUGCAGCCAUGCCGCGUGUGUGAAGAAGGCCUUCGGGUUGUAAAGCACUUUCAGCGGGGAGGAAGGCGAUAAGGUUAAUAACCUUGUCGAUUGACGUUACCCGCAGAAGAAGCACCGGCUAACUCCGUGCCAGCAGCCGCGGUAAUACGGAGGGUGCAAGCGUUAAUCGGAAUUACUGGGCGUAAAGCGCACGCAGGCGGUCUGUCAAGUCGG